CCCUUAGAUGUUCGGGGCCGCACGCGCGCUACACUGAAGGAAUCAGCACGUCUUUCUCCUUGUCCGAAAGGACUGGGUAACCCGCUGAACCUCCUUCGUGCUAGGGAUUGGGGCUUGUAAUUCUUCCCCAUGAACGAGGAAUUCCCAGUAAGCGCGAGUCAUAAGCUCGCGUUGAUUACGUCCCUGCCCUUUGUACACACCGCCCGUCGCUACUACCGAUUGGAUGGUUUAGUGAGAUCCUCGGAUUUGUCCCGGAGCGGCCUCUGGUCGUGCCGGAGUGCCGAAAAGAAUGUCGAACUUGAUCAUCUAGAGGAAGUAAAAGUCGUAACA
rnacentral:rRNA from 1 species